GGGAGUCAUUGGGAGUAUCCCAACUCUGUUUUCCAACGGAUCUGAGCGCUACACUGCGAUAUGUUUGUUUCUGUUUCGUUUUGACUCGAGCUUGAAGUGUCGGUGCUGAACGAACAUCAGUGAGUUUGACGUGUUUCCAUAUACAGGGAAGAUGUCAGACUUUGAGACGAGGAAGAGAAAGAGAUCUUCAUCUCCAGAUCCCAGCCGUGUGUCUCUGAAGAGCAAUCAAUCCAUGCCUCCUCCUCUUAACUUCAGUGAUGGAACAGUGACCUCUGACCCCAGAGAUGAUCAGACUGGAGACCAGGAUUCUCCUCAAGCAGUAGAUGAUGAACUCCAGAGAGUCAAAGACCAGCUCAAAACCAGCAUGAAGAACAAGUAUGAGAGAUUAUUUGAGGGACUGAACCUCCAGGAGAAUGAAACCCUCCUGAACAGGAUCUACACACAGCUCUACAUCAUAGAGGGAGAGAGUGAAGGAGUGAAUGAAGAACAUGAGGUUUUCCAGAUGGAGAAAACAGCCAGAACACAACACUCACAAGAUACUCCAAUCUACUGCAAUGACAUCUUUAAAGCCUCAGCUGAACCAGGAUGUGAGGAGAAACACCAGAUCAAGACUGUUCUUACUAAAGGCAUCGCUGGAAUCGGAAAAACCGUCUCUGUGCAGAAGUUCAUUCUGGACUGGGCUGAGGGAAAAACCAAUCAGGAUGUAGAUUUCAUGUUUGUGCUUCCAUUUCGAGAGCUGAACUUGAUCCGAGAUCAUCAGUACAGUCUUCACAGACUUCUGCUGGACUUUCAUCCUGAACUUCAAGAUCUGGACUCAAAGAUUUAUGAGGAGUGUAAAGUUGUGUUCAUCUUUGAUGGUCUGGAUGAAAGCAGAAUCGCACUGAUGUUUUCAAACGCUCAGAAAGUUUCUGAUGUGACCGAGUCUUCAUCAGUUUCUGAUGUGACUGAGACUUCAUCAGUGGGUGUGUUGAUGUCAGAGAAAGUUUCUGAAGUGACUGAGACUUCAUCAGUGGGUGUGUUGAUGUCAAAUCUCAUGACAGGAGAGCUGCUUCCCUCUGCUCUCAUCUGGAUCACCUCCAGACCAGCAGCAUCCAAUCAGAUCCCCUCCAAAUACAUCAACCGUCUGACAGAGAUUCAGGGAUUCAAUGAGCCUCAGAAGGAGGAAUAUUUCAGGAAGAGAAUCAGUGACAAGCAUCAAGCCAGCAGAAUCAUCUCACACAUCAGAAGAGCAAGAAGCCUCCACAUCAUGUGCCACAUACCCGUCUUCUGCUGGAUCUCAUCCACUGUGCUUCAGAAGCUCCUGAAAGAAGAUCUGAGUGCAGAAAUCCCUCAAACUCUGACUGAAAUGUACAUCCACUUCCUGCUGAUUCAGAUCAACAUGAGGAAUCAGAAGUAUGAAGAGAGAGAUCCAGAGAAACUGCUGCAGUCCAACAGAGAAGUGAUUGUGAAACUUGCUGAAGUGGCUUUCAAUCAGCUGAUGAAGGGCAAUGUGAUGUUCUAUGAGGAGGACCUGAGAGAGAGCGGCAUAGACGUCACUGACGCCUCAGUGUAUUCUGGGAUUUGCACUGAGAUCUUUAAGGAGGAAUCUGUGAUUCAUCAGAGGAAAGUCUACAGCUUCAUUCAUCUGAGCUUUCAGGAGUUUCUCGCUGCUUUCUAUGUGUUUUACUACCAUGUGAUCAAGAACAAGAAACCACUGGAUGAACUCAGAGUUUACAGAUCUUAUAAAGACUCUCUGUAUUCUCUACUAACAUCAGCAGUAAAUAAAGCCCUCAGGAGUGAGAAUGGACAACUGGAUCUGUUCCUGCGGUUCCUGCUGGGCGUCUCACUGGAGUCCAAUCAGAGAGUCUUACAGGAUCUACUGACACACACAGAGAACAGCUCAGAGAGCAUCAGAGAAAUCACACAGUAUAUUAAAAAGAUGAUCAAAGAUGAAUAUAGAGUUCUCUCCACUGAAACGUCCAUCAAUCUGUUCCUCUGUCUGCUGGAAGUCAAAGAUCAGUCUCUGUCCAGAGAGAUUCAGGAGUUUGUGAAAUCAGACAAACACUCAAAGAAGAAACUCUCUCCGUCUCACUGCUCAACAAUCUACUACAUGAUUCAGAUGUCAGAGGAGCCGCUGGAUGAGCUGAACCCCAUGAAAUACAACACAUCAGAUGAGGGGAGAAGAAGACUGAUACCAGCUGUGAUCAACUGCAGAAAAGCUCUAUUUUCUGGCUGUAAUCUCUCAGAUCAGCAUUGUGAAAUUGUGUCAUCAGCUCUACAAUCCUCAAACUCUGUCCUGAGAGAGCUGGAUCUGAGUUACAAUGACCUACAGGACUCUGGUGUCAACUUCAUUUCUGAUGGACUGAAGAGUCCAAACUGUCAGCUGCAGAUACUGAGUCUUACUGGCUGUAAUCUCACUGCUCAGUGUUGUGAAAUUGUGUCUUCAGCUCUACAAUCCUCAAACUCUGUCCUGAGGGAGCUGGAUCUGAGUAACAAUGACCUACAGGACUCUGGUGUCAAAUUCAUUUCUGAUGGACUGAAGAGUCCAAACUGUCAGCUGCAGAUCCUGAGACUUGCUGGCUGUAAUCUCACUGCUCAGUGUUGUGAAAUUGUGUCUUCAGCUCUACAGUCCUCAAACUCUGUCCUGAGAGAGCUGGAUCUGAGUAACAAUGACCUACACGAAUCUGGUGUCAACUUCAUUUCUGAUGGUCUGAAGAGUCUAAACUGUCAGCUGCAGAUACUGAGUCUUGUUUGCUGUAAUCUCACUGCUCAGUGUUGUGACAGUUUGUCAUCAGCUCUACAAUCCUCAAACUCUGUCCUGAGAGAGCUGGAUCUGAGUAACAAUGACCUACAGGACUCUGGUGUCAGCUUAAUUUCUGAUGGACUGAAGAGUCCAAACUGUCAGCUGCAGAUCCUGAGGUUGUCUGGCUGUAUGGUGACAGAGGAAGGCUUUGGUUAUGUGUCUUCAGCUCUGAGUUCCAACCCCUCACACCUGAGAGAGCUGGAUCUGAGCUACAAUCACCCAGGACAAUCAGGAGUGCAGAUGUGCCAUAAACUGGAGGAUCCAAACUAUAAACUGCAGAUACUCAAUGUGGAUCAUGGAGCAGAGGUCAUGAUGACAGCAGGACUACGAAAGUAUGCCUGUGAUCUCACACUGGAUCCAAACACAGCACACACUCGACUCGUUCUGUCUGAUGGGAACAGGAAUGUGACGAAUGUGGGAGAAGAUCAGUCGUAUCCUGAUCAUCCAGAGAGAUUUGAUGGGUAUCCUCAGGUUCUGUGUAGAGAGAGACUGACUGGACGCUGUUACUGGGAGGCUGAAUGGAGCAGAGAUAGAGCUGAAAUAUCAGUGACAUAUGAAGGAAUCAGCAGGAAAGGAGGGAGUAAAGACUGUGUGUUUGGAUUCAAUGACAAAUCCUGGAGUCUGUACUGCUCUGAUGGAGGAUUCAUUGUCUGUCACAAUAAUAACAGGACUGUUACACCUGCUGUCCGUUCAUCCUCUAAGAGAGCAGGAGUGUAUGUGGACGUGUCGGCCGGCACUCUGUCCUUCUACAGCGUCUCUGACACACACACACUCACACACUUACACACACUCAACACCACAUUCACUGAACCCCUCUGUGCUGGAUUUAGUGUUUAUUCCUCAGUGUCUCUGUGUGAUAUUAAAGGAUAGAGAGACUCUGUAAAUCCUCUUUCUGAUCUUCACACACACUCAUCAAAUCUCACAUCAUGACAAUGAAAAACAUGAAUUAAAAAUGAAUUAAUACAAAUGUAAUCUAGAAGUUACACAUAUAGAUCAGACAAACACUGUUCCUAAUGUGUAAUAAACAGAGUAAUAAAGUUGCUUUAAUAUUCAUAUUGUAAAUUGUUUAUCAGAUUGUAUAAAAGUACAUUUGAGACUCAUCUGGUGAUCGCUUUUGGAUUAAUCGUGAGCAUCCAUGAUGUAGGUAAUCAAGACAUCACGUGACAUAAACACCUCAUCAUAUAUUAUUAUCAUAUGGGUCUUGCGGAGCCUCAAGUUUUUUCUAUCUUGUUAUCUCGUCAUAAAAGUUCUUAUUACAAUGAUUGAUUCUGAAAUUCAGAUUCUACUGUUGCUAUAGUAAUGAACAACUUUCACAAGCAUCUGAUCGACGGAUCAAUCACGCGCUCUUAUAUCUUGUGAUAUUUCAGCAAAAUGUUUACUUCACUUGACAACGAUAUACUUAAAACAGAAGUUUUUCCUUUGAGUUUUCUGCGUACAGACUGUCAAAAUGAUCCCCAUUCAUAAGAAUCUGUGAAAAUCAGAAAAAAACACUGGUUUACAACACCAUUGAAUGAACUGAACUGAGCUGGAUGAUGACAUCACUGUUUACUCCAGUGCUGAUAUAGAUAAUUUAACUAAAUUAAUAACUUGAUUCUUACAUUGGAAUUAAUCAGUACUGAAUUUACUUAAGAUGGAUACUGACACCAUUUUCUUCAAGAGCUGCUGUGCAGCCAAAAUUAUCACUGUAAAGCUGCUUUGACACAAUCUGCAUUGUAAAAAGUGUUAUAUAAAUAAAGCCUUGCCCUGCAUUCCAUUCGGAAGGGCUCAUCCUUACGCCCUAAUCCCUUUAAAGUGUUUACCCUCCGGAGUGAGAGCUUUGAAGGGAUGAAGGGUGUAGGGGUCAAAACAACUCUUUUUGGAACACACUUCUGCAUCAUCUUAACGCGACAAUCGAAUAGAUUGUGUUUUUGUUUACAAUGUCAUUUUGACCACAAUAAUGUACCAAAAUCUAACUCAUAUAUAUAGUACAGUAGUAUAGAAAAACACUAUACAUACAUUUAUAGGUAAAAUCAAACUCUGAAUCCUGUGCAAAGGAUCAUGGGGGCCUGAAGUGUCCAUCAGUUGUAAAUCCUUCAUUCUGAAGGGCACUUUGAAGUGGCCAGUUUUGAGCACUUCAGUUUGGAAUGACUCUUCAAUAUGGCGGCCAUGAUAGUUUUCACUCUGAAGAGCCCUUCACAGAGUGAUAUAUCCCGUUUGGAACACACCAUUGUUGUUUAGGCAAGGCAGUUUUAUUUAUAUAGCACAUUUAACACACAAUGGUAAUUCAAAGUGCUUUACCUAAAAGAAACAAAUACAUAAUAAAUAAAAAUAACAGUAAAAUCAGAGAAUACUCUAUCUGGAUGGACGAGUCAGGGAGUUUCAGUCAGAGUAUUUGUCAGGUUCCUGUGCGUUUAAACAGUACACUUGUUUACACCGAGACCGUUUUCAAAAGUUUGUGUUUUCAGGCCACCAAAACACAGUUGAACAGCCAAAAUGCAUAAAAGUUUUCAGUUUUUAGUUGUAAACGGUGUCCUGCAAACGGCCCCUUGAGCCGGGGACACACCUAACGAUUGUAAGGCCGAUUAUGAAUGUAAUUUGAUACUUACGACUGAUCAUGUCCAAUCGCGCCGAGUCAGAGCCAGUUGCGUUCAGUCGGUGUUUACAGUUGGUGCUUAAAAUCGUGCAGUGUGCUGCGUCUAACGAUUCUAGUCUUAGAAUUUUAGAAACAGUCAUUGCCAGUCCUCCUCACAAAGAUUCUUCUCAAAUUUGAUAAUUCCCACUUCUGAAGUAGUGAUUACGAGCAAAUCGCAUUCAAGUUUCGAAAGGAAAGUCAUUUUUACGAUAGCGCUGAGAGCACGUGAAGGCAGCAUAAUAUUUGCGACCGAUGACGUCUCUGUUUCCUUGGAGACUGUGUCAGGCGAUUGUAAACAAGCGGCGAAAUGGCGUCAAAAAACGUUUGCACGAAAAAAUACACAUUGGACAACCGGUAUGGAAGAAAAACUGGUUGAACUCUGGCAAGAGUACGAAUAUCUAUACAACAUAUCUUCGAAGGAAUAACGUACCAUAAUAGAAGUGAUAAGGAAAGAAGCUGGGCUGCUAUUGCGGAAGCUUUGAACGUAUCAGGUAACUUACAGGGCCGGAUUAUCCAUAGACGGGAUUGGGCGAGCAAUGGACUACUUGCACUGAGCCUCGUGACGCACAUCCGGUUACGGCUCAGUUGUUUCCGGUUAUAUAUAUUUUCAAUGCGCCGUUAUCACAUAAAUAACUGAACCCCUCUUAAAACGAGAGUCCUCGGGAUGAUUUUAAAUUCCAGACAUAUUCAGAAACAAGAGAAGAGAUUCUGAUGAUUACCGUGUACAGACCUUUCCAAACUCAACAGAACUUUAAGUUUUAAUCCAACAUAAGAUGUGAUUCUUUCACCACAGGGUGUCAGCGCUCUACUAGUGAUUGCGACGCUGCAGUGUGAGACGUGAUAAAUAAGAUCAGAAUGAACAUAAUAUUUUAGUCUCUAUUCUGUGCCAUUUUUUCUGACAAAUAUUUAUGUAAUUCACACAUUUAUGCCAAAAAUCCUAAUAGUCAAGGUAGUUGCGCUGUCAUUGCGUUAUUCUUUAAGAUUAAUUAAUAACACCGUUAAAGCAGUUAUCACAUUCAUUCAACUAUUUCAAACACUGGAAUAAAAGAGCAGUUUUACCUUUUUUUUGUUUGUCUUGCCAUCGUGAUAAUGCGUUGUCACCCAUCGUUACUACACUUACCAUAGUAAAAAAAUGCACUUCCUGUGUGUAUCAGUCAAAUUCAUUUAAAUGUAAAUUUAACAGGUAUGAAAUAUGAUGAUUAAGAGAAAAACACUGCUAAUGAGAAGACGAGCACUUGACGGCGGAAGGUUAGUGGGGAAAUAUAUUUAUUUAUUAUUCAGAAUGCGCAUUUGGAAGGGAAAUAUAUUAAUAAACAUUUCAGCAGGUUGAAGAUAAUUAAUGUUAAUGCAGAGAAUAUGAUUAAUUGUUUAAAAAACAUUUCGCAGCCCUAAAAUGUAGUAAUAAUCUGCGUUUUCACAAGAAGCUCUCUGUAUAUAAGUGCGCUGAACGCUUACCGGAAACGCUCGAGUCGUAAUAAGUAGAACGCGGAAGUAGCUGUGCAAGUAGUCCAUAGGGGGGCAACAAGUGAUAAAGAUAAUGACUAACGUUAGACUUUUUUUAUCAUGUUUUGUAUAUAUAUUAUUUAUCUGGAAAGAUACGGAUACAAAAUUAACAGUUAAUGAUACAAUAUAUACAGAGAGAAUAUAAAGAGCCCUGACCCUUUGAUCGCGAAAGUGCCCUUUGAGGUCGCAUUGUGGUAGUAUAAUUUACUUCUGUGGUAAUUUAAUGGUCUGUACAGUGCCGUUUCAAGUCGAACAAGCUUCAUUGAGGAUCGCAGCUUAUCGUUGCUUAACAACGGCGACACCACCGGAGUGCAAGCUCUAAAAAUAGAUUAAUUUACCAAAGUUUACUCACCUCAAAUUCUCUCUGUUGAAAACAAAGUGCGCGUUUUCCUCUUUUUUUGUUAUUUUCCGCACAAAUAUAGCUGCAGAUGAAGAGCGCCAGCUGUUUGUUUAUAUCCAUUUUCAAAAUCCCGCGCACAGUGUGUUGCUUAGCAGCGGUCUCAAUCGUAAACGUUUGUGUUCUUCUCCGACUGUCAACGAUUAAAAUCGGCUCCAGUCGAAGGAAACAAUAGACCUUUUUCACAAGAAUCGGAAAUCACGUGACGCAGGGUAAAGUUAGUUCCGCUAUGCGUCUACGGCUAUUAGAUUGAUAUGCUCUUUUCUCAAAUAUCGCUUCUUACCUUUUCUUUUUUGUCUGUUUUCCAAAUAGCUUUUCUAUAAUCUACAAAGAAAUUAUUUUCUACUUGUUUGUAGCUUAUACAGCCACUCAGACCGUUGAUCGAAUUUACCGGCAGGUGGAUUUAUUACGAGCCGUAAGCUACAGUAAAGGCUACGCAGCUACUCAUUCAGCAAUUUCCCAGAUCGUAUUACGUACGACGAACAUUUUUUAUAUAAUUUAUUAAUUUAAAAAAAAAAAUUAACUCCCAAUAUAUACUUUAAUGUGGGAUAUAAAGUCGUGAGAUACAUAUAUUGUCGUGAGUAAUGUUCUGCUCCAAGUUUACUUGUCACUUGUAUAGUAUGUAUAGCUAUGUAGUUUUGGUGCCCCCCAGUGGCAGUUCUCCAGAAAAAUAAGUGACUACAAUUCUAAUACAGUCAGCUCCUCAAUCUUCAGAUACCAUUCUUUGUUUUGCGUUUGUAAAAGCAUCAUCUUUUUACUCUUAAUUCAUAAUGUACCUGGCAUCUUAUUAAACGUGAAAGACUAAGAUGAAUCCUGACUCGUCUGUACUUUAUGGAUGGAGUUUGGCUGGCUGUUAAAUUGCAUUGGUAGAUGCAAGGAGAACAGUACAAGUAAUACGUUUUAAAAAUAUAUAGCAUGUUAAUCUCAUAUGGCAUCACAUCCCACAUUCAAGCAUAUGUUAUAAUUAAUCCUGAUCGAUUAAAAUGAUUAAACUAAGACAAUUUCCAACACCACACUGUACACAACUAUCAGUCUUUGUAUGUUGCAACAGCACAACAAUACUGUGCAUAAUACACACUUUAAGAUGAUGACGACAGGAAAAUGAGUGAGAGAUGACUUAAGUGUUUAUAUCCAGAAAUAUCCAGGGUGCGAGCGGUCCUGCUUCAUGAAUCAGAGGAUCAGGCUUGUGUGAUAAGGAUCUGCCAGUCGAUCAUUUCCCCA